UACAGAGGUCUCAACCGUUGUUCGGAUUCAUUGGGCGUAAAGGGUGCGUAGGCGGUCGUGCAAGUCGGAUGUGAAAUCUCAGGGCUCAACCCUGAAACUGCAUUCGAUACUGCGUGGCUAGAGUGCUGGAGAGGAGACUGGAAUUUACGGUGUAGCAGUGAAAUGCGUAGAUAUCGAGAGGAACACCUGCGGCGAAGGCGGGUAGCUGGGCCGACACUGACGCUGAGGCGCGAAAGCCAGGGGAGCGAACGGG
rnacentral:rRNA from 1 species